UUUUUGGUAUAAGUAUAUCCCAUGCAGCAUUUGGGACAUACUUAUACUAAAA
rfam:Papio anubis isolate 1X1155 chromosome 19, whole genome shotgun sequence.